rnacentral:rRNA from 1 species
UACGUAGGGGUCAAGCGUUAUCCGGAAUUACUGGGUGUAAAGGGUGCGUAGGUGGUAUGGCAAGUCAGAAGUGAAAACCCAGGGCUUAACUCUGGGACUGCUUUUGAAACUGUCAGACUGGAGUGCAGGAGAGGUAAGCGGAAUUCCUAGUGUAGCGGUGAAAUGCGUAGAUAUUAGGAGGAACAUCAGUGGCGAAGGCGGCUUACUGGACUGAAACUGACACUGAGGCACGAAAGCGUGGGGAGCAAACAGG